ensembl:misc_RNA 7SK 7SK RNA
GAAUCUAGGGUGUGAGGGUGCAAUCUGUCACCCCAUUGAUUGCCAGUGCUGACACAGCUGAUCUGGCUGGCUAGGCAGACGUUCCCUUCCUCCCUCACCUCUUCACCAAUGUCCCUCCCAAAGCUUUUAGUCAAAGAGAACGAUCACCUAUGAUAGAGUAGGACCAUCGCUCGGUCAAGGGUAUACGAGCAGCUGUGCUCCCCUGCUGGAACCUCCAAACAAGCUCUCUAGGAAAUCUGGCUGUCUCUUUUACCAAUAUUCCUUCUGGCUUCAGAAGGAUUAACCACAUGGUGUUGGAGUUU